rnacentral:rRNA from 1 species
CCUACGGGUGGCAGCAGUGAGGAAUAUUGGUCAAUGGGCGGAAGCCUGAACCAGCCAAGUAGCGUGCAGGAUGACGGCCCUACGGGUUGUAAACUGCUUUUAUACGGGAAUAACGCGCCUUACGUGUAGGGCUUGGCAUGUACCGUAUGAAUAAGGACCGGCUAAUUCCGUGCCAGCAGCCGCGGUAAUACGGAAGGUCCGGGCGUUAUCCGGAUUUAUUGGGUUUAAAGGGAGCGUAGGCCGCAUGUCAAGCGUGCUGUGAAAUGUCCGGGCUCAACCCGGGCCUUGCAGCGCGACCUUGCUUGCGUGAGUCCGCGGACAGCAGGAGGCAUUCGUCGUGUAGCGGUGAAAUGCUUAGAUAUGACGAAGAACCCCGAUUGCGAAGGCAGCUUGCUGCAGCGGAACUGACGCUGAUGCUCGAGAGCGCGGGUAUCGAACAGGAUUAGAUACCCGAGUAGUC